GAAAGGGAGUCAGCUGGAGCCAGCAUCAAGCAGCUGUCGGUGGCAUUACACUUUAAGGUACUUCCACAAUGGCUACAGCCUCAAGCUGUUCUUAAGCCAUAAGACACUAAACUUAGAUGGUGAACCACCUUUUUGACAUUACUUGCAAAAUAUCCCCCAAUGUUAACAUUGUUAGCACGCUGUAGCAUUUAGCAUUUAGCUCAAAGCACUGCUGUUCCUAAGUAGGCCUACAGGCUAACAGAGCAGCAUGUGGCUGUAGAUUCUUAGUCUUGUUAGACUGUCAUUAAAUCAGUAUUUGAUUCUAUAAGCCACUGAGAAGAAAAUAUGUCAGGAGUUAAAUAUAACUUGACUUAAGUUUGAAAAAAAAAAAAUCCAAAGAGAAAAAAAAAACUGGUCUGUGUUAGCUCAGCCAGUCUGAGUGUUUUCACACCUUGCUAUUCAGUCACCAACACACACACACACACCAUCAAACUUCAACACUACAGUCCCAGCCGGCCCAGAACAGUUUCAUCACAUUUUAUAUGAGUCCACAGCAACCUGAGAGGAAAGAUCCUCUUUUUAUCACCUCUCAACCCCCCUCCCCUCCCGACAAACCAAAAUAGCUCCAACAGACACACAAUGAAGGAAUGUUAUUCACCACUGCUAGACCUUUCAGGACCUUUCAAAACAAAGUGUGGGUCAGCAGUAAUUGUGCCCAGUGCCCAGCAGCACCCAGGGAGCCCAGAUCCUGUUUACACCUCUGCCAACACCAUCCUCCAACCGCUGUGACGGCUUCUUGUAACUCCACUUGGGCCUGGGAUCUGUUUUGAAGGAACUGCUGGGGGUUUUUUAACAGAAGUGAGGAGGUUUCAAGAUUGGAAUCUGACAGGAGAAAAGUACCUCUGGAGAUUAAAACUGGGCAGGAUUGUUAAGACUGAAGAUGUCUUUAAAGAGACGGCUGCUGUCUAUGUUGUUGUGCUGUGUUUACUGUGUGGCCUCGCUCUUCUGCCUUCACCCAAACCGCGCCAAUUGCUUCUCUGUCGGCGCUCGGAAUCUGGUGUCGGUCAUCCAGCAGCUUUACCAGCGUGUCAUUCGGCUGCUGCGUACCACUCUGUGAUCCGCAGCGCUCCCUGUGUUUGAACCAAUAACCCUGGACCUGUGCUGCCACCGUGGCCGCUGUGGCUGCUGUAAAGAAUGCCAUCCAGCAGUGCAUUAUCAGCUAAAAGGUGUCACUCCACUUUUGGACUGUGGGGUUUCUAUCAACUCAGUAUUAUCUGAAUUGAGCUCCACCCACCCUGCUGUGUUCACUACUGCAAUUCUCUGACUAUAUUUUAGAUGAGGGGGAGAAGUGAAUCUAAAUUUUUUGUUGUUUUUUUUUACUGAUUCAUGUUGAUCAAAAUUGUGGAUAUUUGCUGUGUAAGAUGUGAGUGAGGUGGAUGGGACAUCAGCAGUCUUCAUUUUAAUGCUUUUUCAUGUUUCACAUGUUUCAAACUGUUUUUACAACAACGACAGAAGCCUAAAGCUCUCAGAAAUAGGCUCGUUACCAAGAGGUUGCUGGUUAACAUUCCUGAAGUGGCAGGGAGAGGAGGAACAAAUCCUCUUCCCUCCAACAACAACCACCACAGAGUUAUUCCUGAGGAGCUGUUUUGUGGCUUGUUUGGCGCAGAGUGAAGCUUGAAAUAUGCAUUUGAGAGGUCUUCACAGGUCCAAAAUUUGUGGAAACCUAUAUACCCAACCCAAGAUGUAUAAAUGAAGCAAGUAAAGUAACGGACCACAUUCGACAGUGACUUCAGGACGGUCAGAACAGGUCCGAAAUUGACCCGAGGAUAGUAAGAUCUGAUCAGACAGACUCAAAAAGAGAGAGAACACCAACGCAGGCAGCAGCAUGAUGCUAAUUAACAAGUAGCCACAGUCAAGAGAGCAGCAAUGUGUGCCAUUUUUUUCAGACACAACACAUUAUCAGAACUGAUAGGAAGUCUGCGUUGAUCCACUAUCAGACAUAUUGACACAAGACCUGUGGCAAUUCAACAAAACCCUACCCAGACCUAAUUAGACUGACUAUAAAGUGGACCCACCUUGGUUAAUAGAAACCAAGAGCACCUGUGAAGACCUCUACUUAAGUAUACAAACACCAUGACAGCAUUUGGCUUGUGCUUUUCAAAUACCUGGCACAGUUGUACAUGAUCAACAUGCACCUUUACUUCCCUGUGAUGGUGAAAGAGCAAGAAACAUGCAAAUUUACCAUGGCAGGGAAAGGAGGAAACAUGAUCAUCAGACAAGACAGCUUGGCCUUAUUGUUGCUAUGAUACCCUUCACUGCUGUUGUUUGUGUGAAACUUGCAUUAUGUUAAGAAUUUCCGGUGUCACAUUUCUGAAGGCAACAAUGUGUGAAUUCAUCUUAGCAUAGCUUGACGCAUCCUUGAUUGUGUGUCUAUGUAUGAUUGUACUGGGAUUAAAAGGCAGUAGGUUGCCAAAAUUCCACCAAUGCAGCAACAAGCUGCAGGAGAAUAAGCUGAUAAUUGACUUUUGACAGCUGCAGUAGUAAUGUGUUGUGUAAGUCAGUGAGGUGAUAAUGCAAAGGGAAUCAUGGGGAGACCUCACCAACUAAUAGAGAUUUUAGGCAAUAGCUGACACUACUAGCCUAAUUUUAUAGUAUAUACACUCAGCUUUACGGCUGUGUAACUGCCUGUGUAACAAGUCCUCACUUAUAAAUAUAACAAACUAAGUCAACACAUCUGAAAGUUUUGCGUUUUGCUGAUCUGGGGACACAUUGGCAGGAAGAAGACACAUCAGCAGCGCUUUUUUUUUUUUAAGUUUAUGCAACUAAAACUACUUUUUUAAGGAGGUGGUUGACAUUUUUUCACUUAAUUAUAGUGGUGGCAUGCCGAUAGUGUUGUUUCAGUUUUAUUUAUGCAGGUUUUGAGAUAUUUAUGAGAUUUGUGCCUCUACACUAAAGUCAAUUGAAUUUUGUUUGUGUGGCUCAUUGAAAAUUUACAUUUAAAGAAUUCAGCAGCAGAAUGUGUACAAUUUCAAUGAAAGCUGUUCAUUUUGAAGUCACAGAUGUUGCCUGUCAGGAAAACAAAAAUGGGUCGUUUUAAGCCUUUUCAAUGAAAAAUAUGGUGUUUUGUUUUGGUAAGGACAGUCUCCCAUCUGUUGCCUUGGUGUCAAAAAAGAUGAGCGAUGCAGGAAAAAUCCAUUUUUAGGUAGGAGGUCACCUGAAAGCUGAAAAGCUGGUUUGGUUUCAAUUAGAAUUUCUGUUUGUUAAAUUGAGAAAGAGGACAUAAGUCAGUAAAGACUGAUUCAGAGAAAGAUAAGUAUAAAAAAAAAUUACUACAGUACAUCUUAAUUGAAAAAAUGCAAUUGCUACCUUUUGGUUUAGAGAUGAGAAUAUGAAUGUGUAACCAUACCCAGAGGAAUAACUUCCCCACUUUGGAGACUAAGAUUAAAAAAAAAAAA